CGCGGCGGCGGUGGUAGGGCGGCGGCGGCAGUGGUGGGGCUGGACCGGGAAGAGGCGGGCGCAGUGGUGGUGGCACACGGGGAAGGGGGUGGCACGGUGGUGGUUUGCGUGGGCCUGGGGGCGAGCGGCGCGCGGCGGCGUGCGGCCGGCGGGGUGUCGAGAGAGAGAUCUGGAGGUAAGGGACGACCCUGACACAUGGGGCACACGUGCCAGAGAGAGAAAGAGAGGAGAGGAGAGGGAGUCGCGGUUGUGCUGGGCCAACUGCUGGGCCGGGAAGGGGAGGGAGGGGAGAGGGAGUUUUCUUUUUUUUUUACUUUAGCAAUUCAUUUUUUAGUGAAAUUGAAUAAAACCAUAAAAAAUAGUAAAAAUUAUAAAAAAUGAAAAUAAAAUUAGAGAAUAUUAUUAUGUCUUCUACAUGUAAUUUUAUUCAUAAUUAUUAUUUCAUAUGUGAUUAUGUUGUAUGGAAAUAUAUAUAUAUAUGUAUUAUUCGUGUCGAUCCUUUUAUAAAUACUUGUUACUAUUUAUCUUUAUAUAUGU
rnacentral:lncRNA from 1 species